CCUACGGGGUGCAGCAGUGAGGAAUAUUGGUCAAUGGACGAGAGUCUGAACCAGCCAAGUAGCGUGAAGGAUGACUGCCCUAUGAGUUGUAAACUUCUUUUAUAUGGGAAUAAAAUGUUCCACGUGUGGGAUUUUGUAUGUACCAUAUGAAUAAGGAUCGGCUAACUCCGUGCCAGCAGCCGCGGUAAUACGGAGGAUCCGAGCGUUAUCCGGAUUUAUUGGGUUUAAAGGGAGCGUAGGUGGAUUGUUAAGUCAGUUGUGAAAGUUUGCGGCUCAACCGUAAAAUUGCAGUUGAAACUGGCAGUCUUGAGUACAGUAGAGGUGGGCGGAAUUCGUGGUGUAGCGGUGAAAUGCUUAGAUAUCACGAAGAACUCCGAUUGCGAAGGCAGUUCACUGGACUGCAACUGACACUGAGGCUCGAAAGUGUGGGUAUCAAACAGGAUUAGAUACCCGUGUAGUC
rnacentral:rRNA from 1 species